rnacentral:sRNA from 1 species
GCCGGGCAUGGUGGCGGGUGCCUGUAAUCCCAGCUACUCGGGAGGCUGAGACAGAAGAAUUGCUUGAACCCAGGAGGCAGAAGUUACAGUGAGCCUAGAUUGCGCCACUGCUCUCCAGCCUGGGUGACAAAGCAACAUUCAGUUUCAA